GUCCUUAUAGCUCAAUCGGAUAGAGCAACAGCCUUCUAAGCUGUAGGUUACAGGUUCGAGCCCUGUUAAGGACGCCA
rnacentral:tRNA from 1 species